GUGGAUCGACAUUUCAUCAAAGAGAAGUUGGAGUCAGAAACCAUUAACAUGCCACAUGUGCGUACUGAAGAUCAACUUGCAGAUAUUCUGACCAAAGCAGUUUUUGGAAAAGUGUUCCACAGCUCACUAGACAAGUUGGGUAUGCGAGACAUCUAUUCCCCAACUUGAGGGGGAGUGUUACAUGAGCUGUAGCACACUAUGCUUUCCAGCAAUGCUGCAGCUCACUAUGCUUUCCAGCAAUGUUGCAGCUGGAAUAUACUAAUAUUGACAGAGGUGUAUAUGUAAGCUUUCUAGCUGUAAUACACAGAGUGUAAUCAUGGUAUGAGCUCUAUAAGAGCAUGAUUGUAAUUCAGUUGUAAGUGUGCUUGAAUACAGAAAUACAUUACCAGUUUUGACAUGGUAUCAGAGCAGUUUGCUCUUGAGACCGAUACCCAUAUCUAGAAAUCUAAAUUACCCAUACCCAUAUUCCGCUGCCAGAAUUACCAAGAGAAGAACUCUGUUCUUCAUCUAAACCAAGCACCAGAAACUCUUAGCCAUACCAAUACCUUCAACAGAAGAACCUUGUUUCUUCAUCUUAACCAAGUACCCAGAAAAUACCAGCACCAGAAAAUCUAAACCAAUACGAAAGAACUUUUGUUCUUCCCCAUAUCCAUAUUCCUAGAAAAUACCAAGAACAAAUUUUGUUCUUCAGUACUCAGUACCCAUAUCAAUACCAAAUUCUAUCCCAUACCAAACUCAGAAAAAAAAAAAUCAAACUACCUUGAUUCCUUUCAGACCACUAGGUACGUGAACAUCACCAACCUCAAGGGUGGUAAAGCUGGGUUCGGUACUGAAGAUAACAAUACUCCUUUCUACCAUAAGUCUCUGAAGUUAUCAGACCACCUCAUAUAAUAUCACACCCAAACUAGCGGUGCAGUCCCACAUCCAAGCCGGCCGUACUGCACCACCUCCAUUCCCACCAACGAAACCCGAGCUGCAGCAUCUCCGAUCGAACCGCGCCUUUCACUCCACCGCAGCAGCAGCUCCAUUCUCCGAUCUGCACUUCCACUUCAGUUUCAGCUGACAGAAGAAAGAAGAAAAGAAAGGAGAGAGAGACAGGGGCUGGUCUCGGAAAAGGGAGGAGAAGAAGAGAGAGAGAGAGAAAAAAAAAAAAAAAACCAACUUUCUUAAAAGCAGAAGAAGAAAAGAAGAAAGGGACAGGCACGUCCUUUCUUUAAACUCAACUUUAAAAGGCCCACACAUGAGACUCCUUUAAAAAAAAAAAGGGAGGAGGCGUGCAAGCUUGCCAGCUUUGUCUGGAGAAAAGGAAAAAAAAAAAAAAGGCAGGCUUUCUCGAAAAAGUGGAGAGAAAAAAAAAAAGAAAAAAAAAGAGAAUCUCGCAGAGGAGAUCCGACAAAGGAGAAUCUCGCAGAGGAGAAUCUCACAGAGGAGCACCUCUCUUGUCUUCCUCUUCGCCUUAAAAGAAAAAGUAAAAGGUAAAUUAGAUUAGAAAUUUUAUCCUUGUAACGUCGAGCUUACUCGCUCAACCACAUAGGUCCACCCAAUUAAUGUGGUGUCUAGGCUGAUUGGAUACGAGAAGUGCUAGCAAAGGGUCUCGUCCCCUGCUAAACAAGUAAACUGAGCUCCGCCAAAAUCGUUCCUCUACUACCUGGCUACAUUAAAAUGAGUUACCGAAAGGUUGCACGAUAGGCAACACCCAAGGAUCCGAUUUCUCUUCUCUUUACUUAGUAAGUUACUGUCUUCUUCGACCCAAAUUUCAUACCCCUCCUCAUCUUCUUCAGAUGGCGCUUUCUUCUUGCCGGUGAGGUAGCCAAGUUUACCUCGGCCGGUGAUGUUCAACUUCGCAUGUUUAGACCAGGAAAUAAAAUUGGUGCUGUCCAAUUUUUCUGGAGCAAUAGGACCAUGAUCAUUGGACGAUGAUCGCCCUUUAUGUUGAGAAGAGUUGGUUGCCGAUGUGUGGGUUGAAUCAGCAGAUACUUCCUCGAUGACCAUGGUUCAAUACUUACUAAGUAAAGAGAAGAGAAAUCGGAUCCUUGGGUGUUGCCUAUCGCGCAACCUUUCGGUAACUCCUUUUAAUGUAGCCAGGUAGUAGAGGAACGAUUUUGGCGGAGCUCAGCUCACUUGUUUAGUAGGGGAUGAGACCCUUUGCUAGCACUUCUCGUAUCCAAUCAGCCUAGACACCACAUUAAUUGGGUGGACCUAUGUGGUUGAGCGAGUAAGCUCGACGUUACAAGGAUAAAAUUUCUAAUCUAAUUUACUUUUUACUUUUUCUUUUAAGGUGAAGAGGAAGACAAGAGAGGUGCUCCUCUGCGAGAUUCUCCUCUGCUGGAUUCUCCUCUGCGAGAUUCUCCUUUGUCGGAUCUCCUCUGCGAGAUGCUCCUCUGCGAGAUUCUCUUUUUUUUUUCUUUUUUUUUUUCUCUCCACUUUUUCGAGAAAGCCUGCCUUUUUUUUUUUUUCCUUUUCUCCAGACAAAGCUGGCAAGCUUGCACGCCUCCUCCCUUUUUUUUUUUUUAAAGGAGUCUCAUGUGUGGCCUUUUAAAGUUGAGUUUAAAGAAAGGACGUGCCUGUCCCUUUCUUCUUUUCUUCUUCUGCUUUUGAGAAAGUUGGUUUUUUUUUUUUUUUUUUUCUCUCUCUUCUUCUCCUCCUCCUCCCUUUUCCGAGACCAGCCCUUGUCUCUCUCUCCUUUCUUUUCUUCUUUCUUCUGUCAGCUGAAACUGAAGUGGAAGUGCAGAUUGGAGAAUGGAGCUGCUGCUGCGGUGGAGUGGAAGGCGCGGUUCGAUCGGAGAUGCUGCAGCUCGGGUUUCGUUGGUGGGAAUGGAGGUGGUGCAGUACGGCCGACUUGGAUGUGGGACUGCACCGCUAGUUUGGGUGUGAUAUUGUAUGAGGUGGUCGGAUAACUUCAGAGACUUAUGGUAGAAAGGAGUAUUGUUAUCUUCAGUACCGAACCCAGCUUUACCACCCUUGAGGUUGGUGAUGUUCACGUACCUAGUGGUCUGAAAGGAAUCAAGGUAGUUUGAUUUUUUCUUUUCUGAGUUUGGUAUGGGAUAGAAUUUGGUAUUGAUAUGGGUACUGAGUACUGAAGAACAAAAUUUGUUCUUGGUAUUUUCUAGGAAUAUGGAUAUGGGGAAGAACAAAAGUUCUUUGGUAUUGGUAUGGCUAAGAGUUUCUGGUGCUUGGUUCAGAUGAAGAACAGAGUUCUUCUCUUGGUAAUUCUGGCAGCGGAAUAUGGGUAUGGGUAAUUUAGAUUUCUAGAUAUGGGUAUCGGUCUCAAGAGCAAACUGCUCUGAUACCAUGUCAAAACUGGUAAUGUAUUUCUGUAUUCAAGCACACUUACAACUGAAUUACAAUCAUGCUCUUAUAGAGCUCAUACCAUGAUUACACUCUGUGUAUUACAGCUAGAAAGCUUACAUAUACACCUCUGUCAAUAUUAGUAUAUUCCGCCAGCUGCAACAUUGCUGGAAAGCAUAGUGAGCUGCAGCAUUGCUGGAAAGCAUAGUGUGCUACAGCUCAUGUAACAUGAGUCUCCCAAACUUGCAUACCAACCUGGAACUAUACGUGUACUAUAUAUCAGCCUCUGAGCUUCUUGAUUCUUCCCUAGUUCCCUAUUUUACACUUGCUAUUUACAGAUCUCCCCUGAAGAA